GGCCUCGGCAGCUGCGGGCUCGGGGCUCCCGCCGGCCCGUGCCCCACCCCCUCCCGGGGUGUCCUGCUGUGGGCGCCGCCGCCCCCGCCCGGCUGGACUGAGGACUGCCCGCGGCCCAGAGCUUUGCCCCCGCCUGUGGGGUCGGUGACCCGGAGUUGGAGGGAGAGGGAGCGAGGGCUCGGGCGCGAAGGUUUGGCUGGAAUCGAGGGUGAACAGAGUCGACGGAUUCUGAUGUUUCAGCUCAUUCCCGAAGUACCCAUGGAAGAUGUUAGAGGAUAAACUACCAGAUAUGACCACUGAA
ensembl:lncRNA